rnacentral:rRNA from 1 species
CAAUAGCGUAUAUUUAAGUUGCUGCAGUUAAAAAGCUCGUAGUUGGAUUUCGGGUGGGAAUGGCCGGUCCGCCGUUUCGGGGUGCACUUGCUACGCCCACCUUGCUGCCGGGGACGUGCUCUUGAGUUCACGCUCGGGACACGGAGUCGGCGAGGUUACUUUGAGUAAAUUAGAGUGUUCAAAGCAGGCCUACGCUCUGAAUACAUUAGCAUGGAAUAACACGAUAGGACUCUGGCCUAUCUUGUUGGUCUGUAGGACCGGAGUAAUGAUUAAGAGGGACAGUCGGGGGCAUUCGUAUUUCAUUGUCAGAGGUGAAAUUCUUGGAUUUAUGAAAGACGAACUACUGCGAAAGCAUUUGCCAAGGAUGUUUUCAUUAA